rnacentral:rRNA from 1 species
UAAGCGGAGGAAAAGAAACUAACUAGGAUUCCCUUAGUAACGGCGAGUGAACCGGGAUGAGCUCAAAUUUGAAAUCUGGCGUCUUUCAGGCGUCCGAGUUGUAAUCUAUAGAGGCGUUUUCCGCGCCGGACCGCGUCCAAGUCUCUUGGAAUAGAGUAUCAAAGAGGGUGACAAUCCCGUACUUGACGCGACAACCGGUGCUCUGUGAUACGUUCUCAAUGAGUCGAGUUGUUUGGGAAUGCAGCUCUAAAUGGGUGGUAAAUUCCAUCUAAGGCUAAAUAUUGGCGAGAGACCGAUAGCGAACAAGUACCGUGAGGGAAAGAUGAAAAGCACUUUGGAAAGAGAGUUAAACAGCACGUGAAAUUGUUAAAAGGGAAACGAUUGAAGUCAGUCGUGUGGGAAGUAUUCAGCCGUCUCUGGCGGUGUAUUUGCUUCUCACGGGUCAACAUCAGUUUGAUCCGGUAGAAAAAGGCGGGAAGAAGGUGGCAUCCUCGGGUGUGUUAUAGCUUCCUGUCAUAUGUGCCGGACCAGACUGAGGAACGCAGCUUGCAGCAAUGCCGGGGUUCGCCCACGUACAAGCUUAGGAUGUUGACAUAAUGGCUUUAA